rnacentral:rRNA from 1 species
AAUGUCUGGGAAACUGCCUGAUGAGGGGGAUAACUACUGGAAACGGUAGCUAAUACCGCAUAACGUCGAAAGACCAAANAGGGGGACCUUCGGGCCUCUUGCCAUCGGAUGUGCCCAGAUGGGAUUAGCUUGUUGUGGGGUAAUGGCUCACCAAGGCGACGAUCCCUAGCUGGUCUGAGAGGAUGACCAGCCACACUGGAACUGAGACACGGUCCAAACUCCUACGGGAGGCAGCAUG